UAUUCCUUAUGUAAAACAAGAACAUGAUGUGAAAUAUAUAAAAUCUGAUCCUUUGUUUCUAUGAAUAUUGCAUCACAUUUGGAAAUCAAAGCCCCAUCCUCACUGAUCAUAAUCCCUUGGUGUACCUGAAAUCGAUGCGUUACACCAAUCAAAGGCUGAUGCGUUGGAGCAUUUUCAUGCAUGCCUUCAACGUCGUUAUUAAGCACAUUCGAGGCAAGGAUAACGUGGUAGGAGAUGCGUUGUCGCGCUUGUGUUCCUGAUUCGUGGGGUGGAGCUACGACUACUAUCCCUACUUAAGGCGUGGCCUGUGCUCCCGAACGGGGGGGGUCUCUCAUUCUGGCAUCUUCACGUUGACCUGAGCUGCCUUUGAAUCCUGCAUUGAGGACUGCUAUCUAGGAGUUUUUCGUAUUUGUUUUCUGUAGCGGAGGAUGGGAACUGAAGGGAGGAAGUUUUGGCUUCGAUGGCCCAAUGCGUGGCUUGCCCAGGCUUCGUCCACCCCUUUUGUUUCUUUAAUCAGUUCCCCUUUUGUUGGAAGUUUUUGGAAAUAAAAGUCACCAUCAUUGUAAACGGUAACUUUGGUCUGUGUAUUCUUAAUACGUUGCGGGCCGCCGGAUUGCGAGCCGUGUUGUAAGGGUGGCCGGAACAUCCCGCACACGCAGGACUUUGUCGGAGGCUUCCCCGAGCCCUCGGUUAGGGUAGGUUCAACCUCAGACUGCAUGGUCUCCGCUUUACGCUUAUGCCCAGCCGCCGUUUGGUGACAGGUCAGCUUGGACACGUGGAUUGCAGCUAGUGUGGGUACUUGCAGCUAGUAUGGUUACUAGCAGCUACUGUUUGGUGACAGUCUAGCUUUUACCCUCACAGAGGUCAGAUGUAGCGAUGUAGGCUAGCGUUCGGUGACCGAGGGGUUAGCUCGCUCUGGGAACAAUAUGCUAGGCCGUCUACAACUUCUGUCUGAGAGGUGCUUCUAGGAGCGAGAAGAGGUUGAAGACUGAAGAGAUGACUUGACGACGGGACUUAUGUUACGUAGUAGGAGGGAGUCCCUCCUCUGCAGGCAGACGUGACGUCUGUUGGCCAGUCACGACUGGCGUAGUUUAAAAUAGCUUCUGGGGGACAGCGCGAGGGGCGUGUCCCAAAGUGAGAUACCGAGCGAAUAUUGAAAGAAAACUGCGCAGGGCAACAUCAAGGAGAGAUUUGCUUCCGCAUCAUGGGAGCCAAGCCACGCCCUAGUUCAUGACGUACAGGAUGCAGAAAUAUUCAUUGUUUUCUAGCAUUGUUAGCAUUGUAGCAUCAUAAGCGAGAGGUCUGAGCGAUCGCAGUGGCAUUGUUUACCGACCAUGGAAGUAUAAGUUUACUUCAUAAUAUGAAAGAUUGCCUCAUAUAACACCAACAACAUAGUAAAUAUAUGUUGGCCUAGAAAAAAAUACUGUUCAAUGUUAUUGCUUAACCUCUUAAGACCCAUUCGCCCACCGGUGGGCGAUUUUGGUUUGUUGACGAUAUGUUUCCACUACGGAGCGACAUAACCCGCUUCAACUUUCAUCAUUACAGACAUUCUAUACGUCGUUAGAAAGGGUAGAAUCUCCACAAUUUAUUCAUCCGGUUGUUUUUUCUAUAAAUCAUGAGCACAAAACCAUCAAUCAUUGAUAUUUACCAGCAUGGUAAACCGUAAAUGCCAAAAAACAGAGCGACUCCCUACCUUUGAAGCAAUCUGAGAACCGUAAUAUGUGUCCAUUCCUCAAUUAUUUAUAUUCCAAUUGUCCGUGAGAAUCCACUGAUCAAAAGCAUCCAAAUGGUUUUUCAUAAAAUUAUUCCAGCUUGUGAA